rnacentral:rRNA from 1 species
UACGAAGGGGGCUAGCGUUGCUCGGAAUCACUGGGCGUAAAGCGCACGUAGGCGGAUUGCUAAGUCAGGGGUGAAAUCCUGGAGCUCAACUCCAGAACUGCCUUUGAUACUGGCGAUCUUGAGUCCGGGAGAGGUGAGUGGAACUGCGAGUGUAGAGGUGAAAUUCGUAGAUAUUCGCAAGAACACCAGCGGCGAAGGCGGCAUCCUGGACUGGUCCUGACACUCAGGAGCGAAAGCGUGGGGGAGCGAUCCGG